CCUACGGGAGGCAGCAGUGGGGAAUAUUGGACAAUGGGCGCAAGCCUGAUCCAGCAAUGCCGCGUGAGUGAUGAAGGCCUUAGGGUCGUAAAGCUCUUUUACCAGGGAUGAUAAUGACAGUACCUGGAGAAUAAGCUCCGGCUAACUCCGUGCCGGCAGCCGCGGUAAUACGGAGGGAGCUAGCGUUGUUCGGAAUUACUGGGCGUAAAGCGUACGUAGGCGGUUAUUCAAGUCAGAGGUGAAAGCCCGGGGCUCAACCCCGGAACGGCCUUUGAAACUAGGUAGCUAGAAUCUUGGAGAGGUCAGUGGAAUUCCGAGUGUAGAGGUGAAAUUCGUAGAUAUUCGGAAGAACACCAGUGGCGAAGGCGACUGACUGGACAAGUAUUGACGCUGAGGUACGAAAGCGUGGGGAGCAAACAGGAUUAGAUACCCUGGUAGUCCACGCCGUAAACGAUGAUAACUAGCUGUCCGGGCACUUGGUGCCUGGGUGGCGCAGCUAACGCAUUAAGUUAUCCGCCUGGGGAGUACGGUCGCAAGAUUAAAACUCAAAGGAAUUGACGG
rnacentral:rRNA from 1 species